rnacentral:rRNA from 1 species
UACGGAGGGUGCAAGCGUUAAUCGGAAUUACUGGGCGUAAAGCGUGCGUAGGUGGUUUGAUAAGUUAACUGUGAAAUACCUGGGCUCAACCUGGGUUGGUCAGUUAAGACUGUUAGACUCGAGUAUGGGAGAGGGUAGUGGAAUUUCCGGUGUAGCGGUGAAAUGCGUAGAGAUCGGAAGGAACACCAGUGGCGAAGGCGGCUACCUGGACUAAUACUGACACUGAGGUACGAAAGCGUGGGGAGCAAACAGG